AUUGAACGCUGGCGGAAUGCUUUACACAUGCAAGUCGGGCGGCAGCGCGGGGGCAACCCUGGCGGCGAGCGGCGAACGGGUGAGUAAUACAUCGGAACGUGUCCUUAAGUGGGGGAUAGCUCGGCGAAAGCCGGAUUAAUACCGCAUAAGCUCUGAGGAGGAAAGCGGGGGCUCCGUAAGGACCUCGCGCUGUUGGAGCGGCCGAUGUCGGAUUAGCUAGUUGGUGGGGUAAAGGCCCCACCAAGGCGACGAUCCGUAGCUGGUCUGAGAGGAUGAUCAGCCACACUGGAACUGAGACACGGUCCAGACUCCUACGGGAGGCAGCAGGUGGGGAAUUUUGGACAAUGGGGGCAACCCUGAUCCAGCCAUUCCGCGUGAGUGAAGAAGGCC
rnacentral:rRNA from 1 species